rnacentral:rRNA from 1 species
AGAGUUUGAUCCUGGCUCAGAACGAACGCUGGCGGCGUGCCUAACACAUGCAAGUCGUACGAGAAAAUCCGCUUCGGCGGGUGAGUAGAGUGGCGCACGGGUGAGUAACGCGUGGAUAAUCUGCCUUUAAGCUGGGAAUAACUCACCGAAAGGUGGGCUAAUACCCGAUAAUGCUAUGGGACUUCGGUUUUAUAGCCAAAGAGAGCCUCUACAUGUAAGCCUUCACUUAAAGAUGAGUCCGCGUACCAUUAGCUAGUUGGUAGGGUAAUGGCCUACCAAGGCGACGAUGGUUAGCUGGUCUGAGAGGAUGAUCAGCCACACUGGAACUGAGACACGGUCCAGACUCCUACGGGAGGCAGCAGUGAGGAAUAUUGCGCAAUGGGGGCAACCCUGACGCAGCAACGCCGCGUGAGUGAGGAAGGUCUUCGGAUCGUAAAGCUCUGUCGGGUGGGAAGAAGUGUGCAUAGGUUAAUAGCUUGUGCACUUGACGGUACCGCCAAAGGAAGCACCGGCUAACUCCGUGCCAGCAGCCGCGGUAAUACGGGGGGUGCGAGCGUUGUUCGGAAUCAUUGGGCGUAAAGAGCGUGUAGGCGGCUAGGCAAGUCAGAUGUGAAAUCCCUGGGCUUAACCCAGGAAGUGCAUUUGAAACUGCUUAGCUUGAGUAAGGAAGAGGGAAGUGGAAUUCCGGGUGUAGAGGUGAAAUUCGUAGAUAUCAGGAGGAACACCGGUGGCGAAGGCGACUUCCUGGUCCUAUACUGACGCUGAGACGCGAGAGCGUGGGGAGCAAACAGGAUUAGAUACCCUGGUAGUCCACGCCGUAAACGAUGU